UCCCCUAACAGGAAACGUGCCCGGAUGUC
rnacentral:piRNA from 1 species